UUAACGCGAAGAACCUUACCAGGACUUGACAUGCCACUUUUUCCNUGAAAGGGGAAGUUCCCGAGUGGACACAGGUGGUGCAUGGCGGUUGUCAGCUCGUGUCUUGAGAUGUUGGGUUAAGUCCCGCAACGAGCGCAACCCUUGUUUUGAGUUGCUAUUUUUAGGAAACUCAAAAGACUGCCGGUGAGAAGCCGGAGGAAGGUGAGGAUGACGUCAAGUCAGCAUGCCCCUUACGUCCUGGGCGACACACGUGCUACAAUGGCCGGGACAAAGAGAUGCAAUCCCGCGAGGGGGAGCCAACCUCAAAAACCCGGUCUCAGUUCGGAUUGUAGGUUGCAACUCGCCUACAUGAAGUCGGAAUCGCUAGUAAUCGCAGGUCAGGGUCUUGUACACACCG
rnacentral:rRNA from 1 species